rnacentral:rRNA from 1 species
UACAGAGGCCACAAGUGUUAAUCGGAAUCACUGGGCUUAAAGGGUGCGUAGGCGGACUCGUAAGUGCUUUGUGAAAGCCCUCUGCUCAACGGAGGAACUGCAUGGCAUACUGCGAGUCUUGAGGAAUCUAGAGGCCGGCAGAACGAUAGGUGGAGCGGUGGAAUGCGUAGAGAUCUAUCGGAAUGCCAAAGGUGAAGACAGCCGGCUGGGGAUUUCCUGACGCUGAGGCACGAAAAGCGUGGGGGAGCAAACAGG